rnacentral:rRNA from 1 species
GACGUAGGAUGCAAGCGUUGUCCGGAUUUAUUGGGCGUAAAGAGUUCGUAGGUGGUUUGUUAAGUUUGGUGUUAAAGAACGGGGCCUAACCCCGGUAGUGCACUGAAUACUGGCAGACUUGAGUGCGGUAGAGGUAAGUGGAAUUCCAAGUGUAGCGGUGAAAUGCAUAGAUAUUUGGAAGAACACCGGUGGCGUAAGCGACUUACUGGGCCGUAACUGACACUGAGGAACGAAAGCCGGGGUAGCGAAUGGGAUUAGAUACCCGUGUAGU